UAGGGAAUCUUCGGCAAUGGGGGGAACCCUUGACCGAGCAACGCCGCGUGAGUGAAGAAGGUUUUCGGAUCGUAAAGCUCUGUUGUUAAGGAAGAACGAGUGUGAGAAUGGAAAGUUCAUACUGUGACGGUACUUAACCAGAAAGGGACGGCUAACUACGUGCCAGCAGCCGCGGUAAUACGUAGGUCCCGAGCGUUGUCCGGAUUUAUUGGGCGUAAAGCGAGCGCAGGCGGUUAGAAAAGUCUGAAGUGAAAGGCAGUGGCUCAACCAUUGUAGGCUUUGGAAACUGUUUAACUUGAGUGCAGAAGGGGAGAGUGGAAUUCCAUGUGUAGCGGUGAAAUGCGUAGAUAUAUGGAGGAACACCGGUGGCGAAAGCGGCUCUCUGGCUUGUAACUGACGCUGAGGCUCGAAAGCGUGGGGAGCAAACAGGAUUAGAUACCCUGGUAGUCCACGCCGUAAACGAUGAGUGCUAGGUGUUAGACCCUUUCCGGGGUUUAGUGCCGCAGCUAACGCAUUAAGCACUCCGCCUGGGGAGUACGACCGCANGUUG
rnacentral:rRNA from 1 species